rnacentral:rRNA from 1 species
ACGCGUAGGAAUCUACCUAGUAGAAGGGGAUAGCCCGGGGAAACCCGGAUUAAUACCGUAUACCUCCUUCGGGAGAAAGAAGGCCUCUCUUUGAAGCUUUCGCUACUAGAUGAGCCUGCGUAAGAUUAGCUUGUUGGUGAGGUAAAGGCUCACCAAGGCGACGAUCUUUAGCUGGUCUGAGAGGACGAUCAGCCACAUUGGGACUGAGACACGGCCCAGACUCCUACGGGAGGCAGCAGUGGGGAAUAUUGGACAAUGGGCGCAAGCCUGAUCCAGCCAUACCGCGUGUGUGAAGAAGGCCUUCGGGUUGUAAAGCACUUUAAGCAGGGAGAAAAAGUUAUAAGUUAAUACCUUAUAACCCUGAUGUUACCUGCAGAAUAAGCACCGGCUAAUUCCGUGCCAGCAGCCGCGGUAAUACGGAAGGUGCAAGCGUUAAUCGGAAUUACUGGGCGUAAAGCGCGCGUAGGUGGUUUGUUAAGUUGGAUGUGAAAGCCCUGGGCUCAACCUAGGAACUGCAUCCAAAACUAACUCACUAGAGUACGAUAGAGGGAGGUAGAAUUCAUAGUGUAGCGGUGGAAUGCGUAGAUAUUAUGAAGAAUACCAGUGGCGAAGGCGGCCUCCUGGAUCUGUACUGACACUGAGGUGCGAAAGCGUGGGUAGCGAACAGGAUUAGAUACCCUGGUAGUCCACGCCGUAAACGAUGACAACUAGCUGUUGGGAGACAAUGUCUUUCAGUGGCGCAGCUAACGUUUUAAGUUGUCCGCCU